UCUUUCUCUCCCGUGCCUUUUCCGGCAGCCACCACCACCGGACUCCGGCGAGUUUAGCCUCCCCACGUGCAACCUUCUCCCUUUCUCCACUUUUCCGCCACUGCUUCGUCGGAGAAGAUGGCCAGCGAAGCUCCUAGUGGUUGGUCAGAAUUCGGAAGACGUCAAAUGCUAUGUCGGCUCCCAUAUUUCGUAUAUGCAAGUUAGACAAAGUGGUAGUUAAAGGGCAUAUCGAUAAUUUUAUUCUUAAAUCCACAAAACUCCUAUAAAUCUCCCAAAAUAUCUUGUGC
rnacentral:lncRNA from 1 species